CAGUCGCCGCGGUAAUACGUAGGUGGCAAGCGUUGUCCAGAAUUAUUGGGCGUAAAGGGCUCGCAGGCGGUUUCUUAAGUCUGAUGUGAAAGCCCCCGGCUCAACCGGGGAGGGUCAUUGGAAACUGGGAAACUUGAGUGCAGAAGAGGAGAGUGGAAUUCCACGUGUAGCGGUGAAAUGCGUAGAGAUGUGGAGGAACACCAGUGGCGAAGGCGACUCUCUGGUCUGUAACUGACGCUAAGGAGCGAAAGCGUGGGGAGCGAACAGGAUUAGAUACCCCCGUAGUCCCUGUCUCUUAUAA
rnacentral:rRNA from 1 species